rnacentral:tRNA from 1 species
AUCCCCAUCGUUUAAUUGGAAAGAUCUCUGAAUACGAAUCAGAAGACUAGGGGUUCGAAUCCUCUUGGGGAUG